CGGGGAGAAUGCGGGGAGACCGCGUUUAGAGGAUCAGUGGCGGCGGGCCCGCGCGGUGCCGGCGACUAGCAGCGAGAUGUCCUGGCCCCUUCCAGGUUUGGUUGGCUGCCAUCCCUGCUGAUGGAGAGAGGCUGAAGUCUGUCUGAGAAGAUAGUGCAGGCAGCUACUUAGCUGGUACUAAUUGUAUUUGCAGAGUAGGGGGUUUCUCUCUGUAGCCCCGACUGUCCUGGAACUCACUCUGCAGACCAGGCUGUCCUCAAGCUCAGAGAUCUACCUGCCUCUGCCUCUGAAGUACUGGGAUUAAAGAUGCAGAGGCCUCCCAGAGAAGUGUGAAGGAAUGGGCCUUAACCAGGGUUGAAGAAAGAAAGUGAAGAAGGGGAGAGCCCAAGGAAAGGUGGGGACAGUUGGAACUUUUGUUUACACUGGUCUACUACUCAUGUAUCGUAUGCUAUAAUCUCCAAAUUCCACAUUUAUUGUAGCUGUCUGCAGUGUGUAUGCCCCGGCCGCAUGCUGCUUGGCUAAAAAAGUGUUAAAUAAAACUGUAAGAAACGCUA
rnacentral:lncRNA from 1 species